UACGAAGGGGGCUAGCGUUGCUCGGAAUUACUGGGCGUAAAGCGCACGUAGGCGGCUUUCUAAGUCGGGGGUGAAAUCCUGGAGCUCAACUCCAGAACUGCCUUUGAUACUGAGGGUCUUGAGUUCGGGAGAGGUGAGUGGAACUGCGAGUGUAGAGGUGAAAUUCGUAGAUAUUGCAAGAACACCAGUGGCGAAGGCGGCUCACUGGCCCGAUACUGACGCUGAGGUGCGAAAGCGUGGGAGCAACAGG
rnacentral:rRNA from 1 species